AGCACGCGGUAUCAAACCCGCAGCCAACCCUAUUCGCCUCUCCCGUGCCCCGGUGUGGACGUGCGCGCCAACGGCAUCUCUUUUUUUGUUCGUGCGGAAACCGCGAACACUUCCACUUACGCAGCGACGCAACCCUCCGCCACGGCCACUCGCAGUCUUCCUCCCCAGCCCCCCUACCUGCCAUCACAUCCCUGCCCUCUUUUCAGGUCUUGGCAGGAUGGGGCGUAGCAACAAUCAGCGUCGCAGAACUGCCAAGGCACGAGGAAAGCCGUUCAUUCCAAAGACGGUGAAGAGCAAGGUGCGCAAUCAGAACCGCCGUAUGAAGAUUAUGGCGGCCAAGAAGGACCCACGGCUGCACAAGAAGCUUUCCUACGACAAGGUCCACACGAAGUCGGGAAAGAUCACGCAGCGCAAGUUCCAGUCCGGUGGCUACAACCACAGCGGCAAGUUCGGCAAGGCGGCUGGAGCGAAGCGGAACGCCGCGAAGGGGAAGAUAAAGUAGUUUGAGCGCUUCGGAGUAGCGAAGCGCUGAAGCUUGUGUGCGCGGGGGUUUUGUGCCAUGGUGAGUUGGCGCUGCGUCUUGUACGGGGCCGAUCUCUCUCUCUCUCCGCCUGCUCGUGCUCGCUUCUUUUGUUGCCGCGUGAGUGACGUCGCUGGCGACAACCACCAGCUUAUGAUCUAUGGGCCCGAUGGACGACGCUGAGCAUAGGUAGAGAGAGAGAGGCGGCAACAAGCUACAGCGCUUGUGUGGGUAGGUGUGCAUCACUUGUAACACUAUACUGUCAAGACAAAAGACGAGAAGCAACGCGUACCUCCCCAAACGAAAAAAAAAGUGUGCGGGAUGGAAGUUGAAGGCAGGGACAGGGCAGCCCGAUAAAGAGCGUAAGAGAGCGAGAGAGAGAGAGGAUGGAGACAAAGGGUGGGAAGGGAGAGGAGGAGCACACACCCACACCCGCAGAGGCACAGCGCAGAGGUCGCUGCUGAAUCGCUGACGGAAGGAUCAAAGCCACGGGAAAACACCAAAACAGCUCUCUUUCUCUCACCAUACCUCUCCCCUGCGGCUGGGAUGCGUGCAUCGAUGGAGCGGCCUGCUCGACCCGUGCUGCUCGACAAUGAGACUCCCCACCAGCUCUCUCCCUCUCUGACACGUAUGCGAAGACGUUCAUGACGGCGACGCGCUACAGCGUCUCCAUCUUUCUCUCUCUAUCUCGCUUUCUGAUGUAAUGCUGCGCAUGUGUGUCUCUUCCUGCAG
rnacentral:misc_RNA from 1 species